rnacentral:rRNA from 1 species
UAGGGAAUCUUCGGCAAUGGACGAAAGUCUGACCGAGCAACGCCGCGUGAGUGAAGAAGGUUUUCGGAUCGUAAAACUCUGUUGUUAGAGAAGAACAAGGACGUUAGUAACUGAACGUCCCCUGACGGUAUCUAACCAGAAAGCCACGGCUAACUACGUGCCAGCAGCCGCGGUAAUACGUAGGUGGCAAGCGUUGUCCGGAUUUAUUGGGCGUAAAGCGAGCGCAGGCGGUUUCUUAAGUCUGAUGUGAAAGCCCCCGGCUCAACCGGGGAGGGUCAUUGGAAACUGGGAGACGUGAGUGCAGAAGAGGAGAGUGGAAUUCCAUGUGUAGCGGUGAAAAGAGUAGAUAUAUGGAGGAACACCAGUGGCGAAGGCGGCUCUCUGGUCUGUAACUGACGCUGAGGCUCGAAAGCGUGGGGAGCAAACAGG